rnacentral:rRNA from 1 species
CCUACGGGGGGCAGCAGUGGGGAAUAUUGCACAAUGGGGGAAACCCCGAUGCAGCGACGCCGCGUGAGUGAAGAAGUCCUUCUUUAUUUAAAGCUCUAUCAGCAGGGAAGAAAAUGACGGUACCUGAGUAAGACUCCCCGUCGACCUACGUUCCAGCAGCCGCGGUAAUACGUAGGAGGCAAGCGUUAUCCGGAUUUACUGGGUGUAACGGGAGCGUAGACGGUUAUGCAAGUCUGAAGUGAAAGCCCAAGGCUCAACCAUGGGACUGCUUUUGAAACUGUAAAACUGGAGUGCAGGAGAGGUAAGCGGAAUUCCUAGUGUAGCGGUGAAAUGCGUAGAUAUUAGGAGGAACACCAGUGGCGAAGGCGGCUUACUGGACUGUAACUGACGUUGAGGCUCGAAGGCGUGGGGAGCAAACAGGAUUAGAUACCCCAGUAGUC